GGGUUGUGAGGUUAAGCGACUAAGCGUACACGGUGGAUGCCCUGGCAGUCAGAGGCGAUGAAGGACGUGCUAAUCUGCGAUAAGCGUCGGUAAGGUGAUAUGAACCGUUAUAACCGGCGAUUUCCGAAUGGGGAAACCCAGUGUGUUUCGACACACUAUCAUUAACUGAAUCCAUAGGUUAAUGAGGCGAACCGGGGGAACUGAAACAUCUAAGUACCCCGAGGAAAAGAAAUCAACCGAGAUUCCCCCAGUAGCGGCGAGCGAACGGGGAGCAGCCCAGAGCCUGAAUCAGUGUGUGUGUUAGUGGAAGCGUCUGGAAAGGCGCGCGAUACAGGGUGACAGCCCCGUACACAAAAAUGCACAUACUGUGAGCUCGAUGAGUAGGGCGGGACACGUGGUAUCCUGUCUGAAUAUGGGGGGACCAUCCUCCAAGGCUAAAUACUCCUGACUGACCGAUAGUGAACCAGUACCGUGAGGGAAAGGCGAAAAGAACCCCGGCGAGGGGAGUGAAAAAGAACCUGAAACCGUGUACGUACAAGCAGUGGGAGCACGCUUCGGCGUGUGACUGCGUACCUUUUGUAUAAUGGGUCAGCGACUUAUAUUCUGUAGCAAGGUUAACCGAAUAGGGGAGCCGAAGGGAAACCGAGUCUUAACUGGGCGUUAAGUUGCAGGGUAUAGACCCGAAACCCGGUGAUCUAGCCAUGGGCAGGUUGAAGGUUGGGUAACACUAACUGGAGGACCGAACCGACUAAUGUUGAAAAAUUAGCGGAUGACUUGUGGCUGGGGGUGAAAGGCCAAUCAAACCGGGAGAUAGCUGGUUCUCCCCGAAAGCUAUUUAGGUAGCGCCUCGUGAACUCAUCUUCGGGGGUAGAGCACUGUUUCGGCAAGGGGGUCAUCCCGACUUACCAACCCGAUGCAAACUGCGAAUACCGGAGAAUGUUAUCACGGGAGACACACGGCGGGUGCUAACGUCCGUCGUGAAGAGGGAAACAACCCAGACCGCCAGCUAAGGUCCCAAAGUCAUGGUUAAGUGGGAAACGAUGUGGGAAGGCCCAGACAGCCAGGAUGUUGGCUUAGAAGCAGCCAUCAUUUAAAGAAAGCGUAAUAGCUCACUGGUCGAGUCGGCCUGCGCGGAAGAUGUAACGGGGCUAAACCAUGCACCGAAGCUGCGGCAGCGACACUAUGUGUUGUUGGGUAGGGGAGCGUUCUGUAAGCCUGUGAAGGUGUGCUGUGAGGCAUGCUGGAGGUAUCAGAAGUGCGAAUGCUGACAUAAGUAACGAUAAAGCGGGUGAAAAGCCCGCUCGCCGGAAGACCAAGGGUUCCUGUCCAACGUUAAUCGGGGCAGGGUGAGUCGACCCCUAAGGCGAGGCCGAAAGGCGUAGUCGAUGGGAAACAGGUUAAUAUUCCUGUACUUGGUGUUACUGCGAAGGGGGGACGGAGAAGGCUAUGUUGGCCGGGCGACGGUUGUCCCGGUUUAAGCGUGUAGGCUGGUUUUCCAGGCAAAUCCGGAAAAUCAAGGCUGAGGCGUGAUGACGAGGCACUACGGUGCUGAAGCAACAAAUGCCCUGCUUCCAGGAAAAGCCUCUAAGCAUCAGGUAACAUUAAAUCGUACCCCAAACCGACACAGGUGGUCAGGUAGAGAAUACCAAGGCGCUUGAGAGAACUCGGGUGAAGGAACUAGGCAAAAUGGUGCCGUAACUUCGGGAGAAGGCACGCUGAUAUGUAGGUGAAGUCCCUCGCGGAUGGAGCUGAAAUCAGUCGAAGAUACCAGCUGGCUGCAACUGUUUAUUAAAAACACAGCACUGUGCAAACACGAAAGUGGACGUAUACGGUGUGACGCCUGCCCGGUGCCGGAAGGUUAAUUGAUGGGGUUAGCGGUAACGCGAAGCUCUUGAUCGAAGCCCCGGUAAACGGCGGCCGUAACUAUAACGGUCCUAAGGUAGCGAAAUUCCUUGUCGGGUAAGUUCCGACCUGCACGAAUGGCGUAAUGAUGGCCAGGCUGUCUCCACCCGAGACUCAGUGAAAUUGAACUCGCUGUGAAGAUGCAGUGUACCCGCGGCAAGACGGAAAGACCCCGUGAACCUUUACUAUAGCUUGACACUGAACAUUGAGCCUUGAUGUGUAGGAUAGGUGGGAGGCUUUGAAGUGUGGACGCCAGUCUGCAUGGAGCCGACCUU
rnacentral:rRNA from 1 species